rnacentral:tRNA from 1 species
GCUUCGUUGGUUUAAUGGGUAAAACGCGCCUCCAGUUGGGGGCGAGAUGCGGGUUCAAACCCUGCGCGAAGCG